rnacentral:rRNA from 1 species
GACGAACGCUGGCGGCGUGCUUAACACAUGCAAGUCGAACGGAAAGGCCCUGCUUUUGUGGGGUGCUCGAGUAGCGAACGGGUGAGUAACACGUGAGUAACCUGCCCUUGACUUUGGGAUAACUUCAGGAAACUGGGGCUAAUACCGGAUAGGAGCUCCGGCUGCAUGGUGGGGGUUGGAAAGUUUCGGCGGUUGGGGAUGGACUCGCGGCUUAUCAGCUUGUUGGUGGGGUAGUGGCUUACCAAGGCUUUGACGGGUAGCCGGCCUGAGAGGGUGACCGGCCACAUUGGGACUGAGAUACGGCCCAGACUCCUACGGGAGGCAGCAGUGGGGAAUAUUGCACAAUGGGCGGAAGCCUGAUGCAGCAACGCCGCGUGCGGGAUGACGGCCUUCGGGUUGUAAACCGCUUUCGCCUGUGACGAAGCGUGAGUGACGGUAAUGGGUAAAGAAGCACCGGCUAACUACGUG